GCUGUGAUGGGGAGAAGACAUUGUGUCUUCGAGUCGUUGAUUUCACACUGCCGAGAAAAGCCUCUAGAUAGAAAAUAGGUGCCCGUACCGCAAACCGACACAGGUAGUCAAGAUGAGAAUUCUAAGGUGAGCGAGCGAACUCUCGUUAAGGAACUCGGCAAAAUGACCCCGUAACUUCGGGAGAAGGGGUGCUCUUUAGGGUUAACGCCCAGAAGAGCCGCAGUGAAUAGGCCCAAGCGACUGUUUAUCAAAAACACAGGUCUCUGCUAAACCGUAAGGUGAUGUAUAGGGGCUGACGCCUGCCCGGUGCUGGAAGGUUAAGAGGAGUGGUUAGCUUCUGCGAAGCUACGAAUCGAAGCCCCAGUAAACGGCGGCCGUAACUAUAACGGUCCUAAGGUAGCGAAAUUCCUUGUCGGGUAAGUUCCGACCCGCACGAAAGGCGUAACGAUUUGGGCACUGUCUCAACGAGAGACUCGGUGAAAUCAUAGUACCUGUGAAGAUGCAGGUUACCCGCGACAGGACGGAAAGACCCCGUGGAGCUUUACUGUAGCCUGAUAUUGAAAUUCGGCACAGCUUGUACAGGAUAGGUAGGAGCCUUUGAAACGUGAGCGCUAGCUUACGUGGAGGCGCUGGUGGGAUACUACCCUAGCUGUGUUGGCUUUCUAACCCGCACCACUUAUCGUGGUGGGAGACAGUGUCAGGCGGGCAGUUUGACUGGGGCGGUCGCCUCCUAAAAGGUAACGGAGGCGCUCAAAGGUUCCCUCAGAAUGGUUGGAAAUCAUUCAUAGAGUGUAAAGGCAUAAGGGAGCUUGACUGCGAGACCUACAAGUCGAGCAGGGUCGAAAGACGGACUUAGUGAUCCGGUGGUUCCGCAUGGAAGGGCCAUCGCUCAACGGAUAAAAGCUACCCCGGGGAUAACAGGCUUAUCUCCCCCAAGAGUUCACAUCGACGGGGAGGUUUGGCACCUCGAUGUCGGCUCAUCGCAUCCUGGGGCUGUAGUCGGUCCCAAGGGUUGGGCUGUUCGCCCAUUAAAGCGGUACGCGAGCUGGGUUCAGAACGUCGUGAGACAGUUCGGUCCCUAUCCGUCGUGGGCGUAGGAAAUUUGAGAGGAGCUGUCCUUAGUACGAGAGGACCGGGAUGGACAUACCUCUGGUGUACCAGUUGUCGUGCCAACGGCAUAGCUGGGUAGCUAUGUGUGGACGGGAUAAGUGCUGAAAGCAUCUAAGCAUGAAGCCCCCCUCAAGAUGAGAUUUCCCAACUUCGGUUAUAAGAUCCCUCAAAGAUGAUGAGGUUAAUAGGUUCGAGGUGGAAGCAUGGUGACAUGUGGAGCUGACGAAUACUAA
rnacentral:rRNA from 1 species